GUGCUGGCAGCUGUGGUCAUUGUCACUGGCUGCUUCUCCUACUACCAGGAGGCCAAGAGCUCCAAGAUCAUGGAUUCCUUCAAGAACAUGGUACCUCAGCAAGCCCUUGUGAUCCGGGAGGGAGAGAAGAUGCAGAUCAAUGCAGAGGAAGUGGUGGUGGGAGACCUGGUGGAGGUGAAGGGUGGAGACCGAGUCCCUGCUGACCUCCGGAUCAUCUCUUCUCAUGGCUGUAAGGUGGAUAACUCAUCCUUAACAGGAGAGUCGGAGCCCCAGACCCGCUCCCCCGAGUUCACCCAUGAGAACCCCCUGGAGACCCGCAAUAUCUGUUUCUUCUCCACCAACUGUGUUGAAGGUGAGAAGCCAGGCUGCCCCCUGUAGGAAAGAGUCUGAAUCCUGAAUCCACAGUCAGGAUGAAGAGCUCUGGUAGUGCUUACCUGGCAAAAGCUCUGCCAUUGGUGGGGCGAUUGAGGGGUCAGGGGGCCCUGAAUAUUAUAGAAACACCCUCCAGAGAGCAGGGUAUUGACUGGGGGCAGCCUGACUCCAUGGGAAAUGUAUCUCCCUUCCCCAGGGAGAUCUCUGUUCUGUCCACCCCAAGACUGAGUGGAUUUCAAAGCUUUCAGGUAUUGGGUUAAGAACCCCUU
rnacentral:sRNA from 1 species